UACGUAGGUUGCAAGCGUUAUCCGGAAUUAUUGGGCGUAAAGCGCGCGCAGGUGGUUUCUUAAGUCUGAUGUGAAAGCCCACGGCUCAACCGUGGAGGGUCAUUGGAAACUGGGAGACUUGAGUGCAGAAGAGGAAAGUGGAAUUCCAUGUGUAGCGGUGAAAUGCGUAGAGAUAUGGAGGAACACCAGUGGCGAAGGCGACUUUCUGGUCUGUAACUGACACUGAGGCGCGAAAGCGUGGGGAGCAAACAGG
rnacentral:rRNA from 1 species